GUUCCAGAGGGAGGAACACUGCCACCAGGAGACACAACAACAAUUCCACUCAACCAGACUCCUGGUUAUCUAACCCAAAUGCCAAUUUUUGUAUGGGAACUCUGCCACUCCUCUGAAAGACUACAUUUCCCAGGCAAUUUUGCAACCAGGUUUGAUCCUGUGACUUCAUUCUGAUAAAUGAAAUUUAAGCAAAGUGUUGUGUGGAACUUUAGGAAAGCCUCCUCACAUGGGAAAAGGUGAGCUUUUCUUCCUCACUACUUCCUUCCUAAAAUUCACUAGAAUGAAAAUGCAAUGGCUGGGAGUUUACCUUGAACAUAAGGCCAUAUGCAAAACUCGUAGAGCCACGAGAUAGAAGUAUGGGUCCUUGAUCACUGUGUUGCUGCCACAUUAGUCCUGUCUGCCUGCCUCUAGAUUCUCAUUCCCUUUUUUUUUUUAAAGUGAGAAAGAAAUUCCUCUCUUAUUUAAGGUAUUAUUUAAGAUUUUUCUGUAUGUAUAGCU